GAUGAAGAACGUAGCGAAAUGCGAUAAGUAGUGUGAAUUGCAGAAUUCAGUGAAUCAUCGAAUCUUUGAACGCACAUUGCGCCCCUUGGUAUUCCAUGGGGCAUGCCUGUUCGAGCGUCAUUUGCACCUUCAAGCUUUGCUUGGUGUUGGGUGUUUGUCCAUUCUCUUGCAGAGGGACUCGCCUUAAAGUAAUUGGCAGCCAGUGUUUUGGUUUUGAAGCGCAGCACAAGUCGCGAUUCAACGCUAUACGCCAGCUUCCACAAGCCUUUUUCACUUUUGACCUCGGAUCAGGUAGGGAUACCCGCUGAACUUAAGCAUAUCAAUAAGCGGAGGA
rnacentral:misc_RNA from 1 species